rnacentral:lncRNA from 1 species
AGCAGCGGGGGGAGGGCUCCGGUGCGGGUUGGGCUCGGGGCUGCGCGCUCGCCCGCGGACCUGCUCCUCCUCCCGCUGCUGCUGGAGGAGGAAGAGGAGGAGCAGCGGCGGAGGCGGCCACCAGCGCCCCGUGCGCCUCCUCGGCGCCCCCGGGGAGAAGCGAAUAAUCCUGCGGGAGGUCGGACCUGAGCCGUGGCCGGGGAAAAGGCAGGAGCAGGAGGAGGAGGAGGAGGAGGAGGAGGAGGAGGAGGAGGAGCUGUGGCAGCUGCGGCUGGGGUGGAGGCGCUCCCCCGCCCCCCCGGACUGCCGCUGUCCUGCGCCGCCCUGCGCCGCGCUCCUCUCCUCCGUGCGCCCCGCGAUGUGAGCCGCUGCCCGUCCGGCCGGGGCUCUGGCGAGGAAACUCACUUCAAAAGCAGCUGCAUCGAGGGGGAGAUUAAAGCCCUUUGCCGCCUUCCAAUCAAAUGGGAGCCCGAGGGCCCGGGUUCUUUCCUUCCCACGAAGGUCGGAGUUCAGGAACUCGCUGUAUUUUCUAAGCGCUCACGAAGAUGCCGUUUCAAGUUCAUUUCGCUGGCAGGAGUUUAAAGCGGGUGGAGAUCAGGAAGGAGAGAGGGAGAGGAAUUGUGUGUGUGGAUUGUGGGUGAUGUAUUGACUUGUUUCAAUAAGGAUAUUCUAUUAGCAAUAUCACCGAUGUAUCGCUACGGCGUCUGGGUCGCGCACUCCUUCCUUUCUGAUCCUAUGGAAUGGGAUGGGGAGGGCACUUAAACAUUUUAAAAAUACAAGCAAUAAAAAGUCUGCGGAGCUUUAAACUCGAGAAACCUGCGGAGAGAGAGACGGGGCUCGGGCUUCGUGCAGCGCUAAUUCUCCAACGCCUUUCGCCUCCGGGGCGCGAUCUCUUUCUCUAGAAAUAAAAACAAACAAGAGCCACCCCGGUCGCUCGCGGGCCGGCAGUCCGGUUCGGCGGCCCCCGAGACCCUCGGUCUCUUUUCCUCCGGCGGCUCCGAAGAAUGGGGGACGGGGGCUGGUGAGCCCCCCAUCCCGGGACCUUGUUUCGUCCCCCUGGAGCCGCCGACCUCCCUUUUUUACAGCUGCACCGGUCCCCCCCCCCACCCCCCCGAAUACACCGGCUUCUAUAAAAAUCCUUCUCCGAGUCACUGGUAUUUCUGUUGUUUCUAUACGAUAGGGUGAAUAUGUCACACCUUGCGGUUAAUUAGAUGCCGUAACUAUGUAGCUAGAUCUAGCCUACCUAAGCCGACAGAUGAGGAUCUAUUUGGACAUUUCAUAAAAAUAAUAAUAAAAAAAACUACGUGGCUGGAGAUACCCCUGCCGUUUUAAGGAUAUUUAUAUAGCAAGAUAUAUUUUACCUCUGUCGUUAUAUU